UUUUCCUUGAAAGAAAUAUCUUCAUUGUUGUGAUAUUGGUCAAAUGGCUGAUGUAGAGUUGUAUAGAUAGGUCCUAGAGAGUGCUACCCUUAUGGAGAAAAAUUAAAAUAGAGUUUGUUUCUCUCUUUGUAUGAUGCUUCUAUGUUGUGGUGUGAGAUUCUGCAUGCUUCCAUGUUGUGGUGUGAGAUUCUGCUUAGCAUUUCAUUAGGAUGAGUUCAUAAAUAAAAGUUGUCUAUUUGUUUUUCAAGGAGUAGGGAUUCUGGGUAACAAUAAUUAUGAAGUAUCACCUUGUAGAACUCGAAAUUGUCUCAUAAAUACUGUUCUGAGCUAUUUAAGAAUGUCUCAUGUCUUAAUGAAUUUCCUUUGAUAUACUUGCAUAUUUGGAUCCACAGGACUUGGUAUAAAAUGAUUCUGUGGGCUACUUAAUAGAUAAAGUAUAGCGUUUAAUUAUGCUGUCAAAAAAUUAUAAAAUUUUUAUCACAAUUUUUUGUCAUUUGUGUCUCGGUCCUGAUGGUUGUGGGCCAAGGAGAAACAGUUGUGAAAGCUUUGCAAGAUGCCUAAUUUAGGUGCUUCACAUGUCAAUAAUCUCUCUCCUAGUUAUCUUUCUCCCUCCCUCAAAUUAUAGCUUUGUGAAGCCGCUUAGGUAGUAAAGGUGGAUUCUUCUAAGGUUGAUGAGAGCAAAGGAAGAAAACGCAAGCAUCUGUUGAGGGGACUCAAGGAUCUGAAGUGUAUGUUACAGAAUUGGUUGCGUUUGAUUUUCUGAUUCCCAUGGUUCUGUUUGUCAUCAUUUCAUAUGCCAUGAGCUGAGGUUGCCUCCAAGGACACCGAGCUCUUGCAGGUAUGUGGGGGUCUUGCACUCAUAAUAUCUUUCUUCAGAGGUUAAAUAUUCACCCAUUGCAUAAAUAAGUCUUCUUACUUUCUGAAUGAAUAGCAUAUAAAAUAGGCACACACAAUGAGAUUUCCUCAUCAUGUUUGGAAGAGAAAAAGGGAAUGGAUUUGUACUAAUUCACAGGAAAAACCUGCAAGCGUUUUUAUAUUAAAAGAACUUAAAAUCCUCUAUGGUGGGAUGUAGUCCUUGGAGAUAAUUUCAUUCUUGUAUUCCAUAAGAAAUGUUUUUUCUCUACAAAAUAGUGUUCAGACAUCUCAUAUCGUUCUUUGUUUUUCUCCUAUGUUCCUUGGCAUUUUAAGACAAAGGUAGGGUCUGUGAUGGAUAAUUAAUAGUAGUAAUGGUCCACAAAAAGACAUUUAUUUCGAAUCCCGUGAUGAAUAGAAUGUAAUGGUUUCAUUUGAAAAGGAUGUGUG